AUUGAACGCUGGCGGCAGGCCUAACACAUGCAAGUCGAACGAGUGGCGGACGGGUGAGUAAUGUCUGGGAAACUGCCCGAUGUAGGGGGAUAACUCCUGGAAACGGUAGCUCAUACCGCAUACCCUCGGAUGUGCCCAGAUGGGGUUAGCUAGUCGGGUGGGUAACGGCUCACCUGGGCGACGAUCCCUAGCUGGUCUGAGAGGAUGACCAGGCACACGGGAACUGAGACACGGUCCAGACUCCUACGGGAGGCAGCAGUGGGGAAGAUUGGACAAUGGGCGAAAGCCUGAUGAAGCCAUGCCGCGUGUAUGAAGAAGGCCUGCGGGUUGUAAAGUACUUUAAGCGAGGAGGCGUUACGCGCAGAAGAAGCACCGGCUAACUCCGUGCCAGCAGCCGCGGUAAUAC
rnacentral:rRNA from 1 species